rnacentral:misc_RNA from 1 species
UAAUUUUCUUUCUAUCUGACAGGACAAACAAAUAGGAAGGGAUGGUUCUUUCAUUGCAUUGAUAGAAGUCUAACUAGAAAAAGAUCUCUCUAUUACUUUGACUUUGAGAAGAGAAUCGUUGGUUUAACCGACGAACUACGUGGGAAAAUGGAUCUUCGGUUCCACAUGAGAACCCAAUACAAAUAUAACCUACAUGUCCAAUUGAACUAUAAGCUAGA